GAUGAACGCUGGCGGCGUGCCUAAUACAUGCAAGUCGAGCGAACGGACGAGAAGCUUGCUUUUCUGAUGUUAGCGGCGGACGGGUGAGUAACACGUGGAUAACCUACCUAUAAGACUGGGAUAACUUCGGGAAACCGGAGCUAAUACCGGAUAAUAUUUUGAACCGCAUGGUUCAAAAGUGAAAGACGGUCUUGCUGUCACUUAUAGAUGGAUCCGCGCUGCAUUAGCUAGUUGGUAAGGUAACGGCUUACCAAGGCAACGAUGCAUAGCCGACCUGAGAGGGUGAUCGGCCACACUGGAACUGAGACACGGUCCAGACUCCUACGGGAGGCAGCAGUAGGGAAUCUUCCGCAAUGGGCGAAAGCCUGACGGAGCAACGCCGCGUGAGUGAUGAAGGUCUUCGGAUCGUAAAACUCUGUUAUUAGGGAAGAACAUAUGUGUAAGUAACUGUGCACAUCUUGACGGUACCUAAUCAGAAAGCCACGGCUAACUACGUGCCAGCAGCCGCGGUAAUACGUAGGUGGCAAGCGUUAUCCGGAAUUAUUGGGCGUAAAGCGCGCGUAGGCGGUUUUUUUAAGUCUGAUGUGAAAGCCCACGGCUCAACCGUGGAGGGUCAUUGGAAACUGGAAAACUUGAGUGCAGAAGAGGAAAGUGGAAUUCCAUGUGUAGCGGUGAAAUGCGCAGAGAUAUGGAGGAACACCAGUGGCGAAGGCGACUUUCUGGUCUGUAACUGACGCUGAUGUGCGAAAGCGUGGGGAUCAAACAGGAUUAGAUACCCUGGUAGUCCACGCCGUAAACGAUGAGUGCUAAGUGUUAGGGGGUUUCCGCCCCUUAGUGCUGCAGCUAACGCAUUAAGCACUCCGCCUGGGGAGUACGACCGCAAGGUUGAAACUCAAUGGAAUUGACGGGGACCCGCACAAGCGGUGGAGCAUGUGGUUUAAUUCGAAGCAACGCGAAGAACCUUACCAAAUCUUGACAUCCUUUGACAACUCUAGAGAUAGAGCCUUCCCCUUCGGGGGACAAAGUGACAGGUGGUGCAUGGUUGUCGUCAGCUCGUGUCGUGAGAUGUUGGGUUAAGUCCCGCAACGAGCGCAACCCUUAAGCUUAGUUGCCAUCAUUAAGUUGGGCACUCUAAGUUGACUGCCGGUGACAAACCGGAGGAAGGUGGGGAUGACGUCAAAUCAUCAUGCCCCUUAUGAUUUGGGCUACACACGUGCUACAAUGGACAAUACAAAGGGCAGCGAAACCGCGAGGUCAAGCAAAUCCCAUAAAGUUGUUCUCAGUUCGGAUUGUAGUCUGCAACUCGACUACAUGAAGCUGGAAUCGCUAGUAAUCGUAGAUCAGCAUGCUACGGUGAAUACGUUCCCGGGUCU
rnacentral:rRNA from 1 species